CUCACUCACAGAUGCAGUACUGCUCACUGCAAAUGAAGAGGAACGCAGCAAGCAUCCUCAGGGCAUUAAAGCAAAUAUAAAAGAAGUCCACGAUUGGCUUUUGCACCACACGGGCUCACACCCAGCACUGCUGUGCCCUGAAGAUGUUGCACGGUGCCUUGAGGAUGCUGCCCACCCCCUGUGGUUCUCUGCUGCUCUCCAUUGCAUUCCUAAGGAGCAGGCAGGAACAAGCACUUAAAAAUGCACACUGCUAAGACUGUGAUAACAGGACCUGGGGAGAAAGACUACAUAACUAUCAGCUUUUGGCAUGUAGUUCUACACUGUCUGGUAAUGAAGAUGAAUUGUGUCUUUUGAAACCCUUUCUUUAAAAUUAGCUUAAAUUAAUGUGCAGGAGUGAGCAUUCUUGAUCCUGCGCACUUCUACAGAACUUACAGUGAAGCUGAUUGCUGAAUUAUCUGGCUUUUAUUUGUGAGAUGGGGAAAAGUCCUGCAGGCACACAGAAGGUAUCCUGGAACUAAGGCAGGCAGUGAUGUGCCUGUGACAGCUGACCUCAUCCUGGCCAGGUGGAUUUGUGCCCCUACAGAGCAGGAAGAAGAGGAAAAAGCUGCAGCAGCCCCCUGAUGCUCAUGCCCUGAACCAGCUGCACGCUGGGCUCAGUCCCAGUGAUGGGACAUAUGGCAAAAACACUUAUGGCAAAAGACAUUCUGAAUGGCCAAAGGUGUUAUGCAUUGCCAAGGCAGUGCUGAGAUGCUGAGUCUGCCAGAAAGGUGAAGCUGCCUUUAUCUCCAACACAGGAUGAAACCUGACUGUUGGUGCUGCAGCAGCCCCCCUGCUGACCACAGGGCUCUGAGUCAGGGGCAGCGCAGAGCAGGGUGGAUUUGUCUGGAGUUGGAGAGGAAGCGAAGAAGAUGAAGGAUUCCUGCCCUUCUGCUCCUGCUCUCCCACCCUGCCUCGAUGUCCAGCUGGCCAAGCUGUGAUAGAGUCACUGUGGACAUCCAGCAGCAUCCUGGAACUUCUGCUCUCAUUUCAAUAUUGCAUUUCAGUUUUUAUGUGCUCUGCAUCACUGGGGGGUUGCAAAGGGGACAGUGCCAGGCACAAAGUGGGGAGCUCACCAGAGGCAGAACUCUUCAGAUACUCUGUGUUUGUGAAAAGCAGAAAAAAGAUGUUGAAAUUUAGUAAAAAGGCUGUACUCCACCAAGCUUUUGUGCUGGGUAUACAGAAAGGAGGGAGAGAAGACGGGAAAGAGGGAAAAUAAGGGCACAUCCAUCUCUCUGUAUUUUGCUGCUCUGCUAGAAUCUGUGGUUGUCAGAUACUCCAAUCACCUGUCUGUGGGGCUGCAAUCCAUCUCAGGGUGAGCCAGGAGGAGAUACACCAUUGGCUAUUUCACAUGCAGUGUGUCAUCUGGCAGGCUGUACAUAUAGUGAGGAAAGCGGGGACCACUCAGUCUCUGAGCAAAGCUGCUUCCAGUGAAUAGCUCAGAGAUAAUCUGAGGAUGGAAAGAAAUGGGAAAGGCUUCCCCUGCUUUUUUUUUUUGUUAUUGUUGUUGUUCUGAUAAGCUCUGAAAACUGUUGGGAAAUGGAGCGCUGAUUGAUGAAGGACUGUGUGGAAUAGCAAUAAAGCACUUUUCCAAGGAGAAGCUGUGAGAGAGAAGAACAGUACCUGAAAGUAAAUAUUUCAUAGGAUUUCUUCCUACAUAGAGGAAGUGUUUGGGGAUAUUUCAGCAUCUGAAUCGUCUCCUGUAUACAGGACGUAUGGGACUGAAAAAGAAGAGCAGUACCUGGAGAGUCCUGGAGCACAGCUGAUGCACAAUCAGCACAGGAAGAAGGACCCAUUUAUCAACUCCUUUAUGCGCUUUGCAUCUGCAGAGCAUAUUUUUACAAUGCAAGCAUGCAUGUUCCUCUCUGCAACCGCUGACUGUAGCAC